rnacentral:rRNA from 1 species
CGGCAACAGCUCAAAUUUGAAAGCUGGCCCCUUUGGGGUCCGCGUUGUAAUUUGUAGAGGAUGAUUCGGCGAGGGCUCCCGUCUAAGUCCCCUGGAACGGGGCGUCAUAGAGGGUGAGAAUCCCGUAUGUGAUGGGCUGCCUUAGCCAUGUGAAUCUCCUUCGAC